rnacentral:pre_miRNA from 1 species
GGGGGGAGGCCGGAUCCUGGGCUGUGUCCCGGCGCCCUGUGCACCUGGGCCUGUGCUGUUCGGAUUCGUGCUCCCGGCCGCGCAGCGCCCU